rnacentral:rRNA from 1 species
UACAGAGGUCUCAAAGCGUUGUUCGGAUUCAUUGGGCGUAAAGGGUGCGUAGGCGGCGCGGUAAGUCGGGUGUGAAAUCUCGGAGCUUAACUCCGAAACUGCAUUCGAUACUGCCGUGCUUGAGGACUGGAGAGGAGACUGGAAUUUACGGUGUAGCAGUGAAAUGCGUAGAGAUCGUAAGGAAGACCAGUGGCGAAGGCGGGUCUCUGGACAGUUCCUGACGCUGAGGCACGAAGGCCAGGGGAGCAAACGGGG